rnacentral:rRNA from 1 species
UACGAAGGGGGCUAGCGUUGCUCGGAAUCACUGGGCGUAAAGCGCACGUAGGCGGCUUCUUAAGUCAGAGGUGAAAUCCUGGAGCUCAACUCCAGAACUGCCCUUGAUACUGAGAGGCUCGAGUCCGGGAGAGGUGAGUGGAACUGCGAGUGUAGAGGUGAAAUUCGUAGAUAUUCGCAAGAACACCAGUGGCGAAGGCGGCUCACUGGCCCGGUACUGACGCUGAGGUGCGAAAGCGUGGGGAGCAAACAGG